UAGGGAAUUUUCCACAAUGGGCGAAAGCCUGAUGGAGCAACGCCGCGUGCAGGAUGAAGGCCUUCGGGUUGUAAACUGCUUUUAUCUGUGAAGAUUUUGACGGUAGCAGAUGAAUAAGGAUCGGCUAACUCCGUGCCAGCAGCCGCGGUCAUACGGAGGAUCCAAGCGUUAUCCGGAAUUACUGGGCGUAAAGAGUUGCGUAGGUGGUUUGUCAAGCAGGGCAUGAAAGCGUGUGGCUCAACCAUACAGCUAUGUUCUGAACUGACAGGACUAGAGAGCGAGAGAGGUAGAUGGAAUUCCCAGUGUAGGAGUGAAAUCCGUAGAUAUUGGGAGGAACACCGAUGGCGUAGGCAGUCUACUGGCUUGUCUCUGACACUAAGGCACGAAAGCGUGGGGAGCGAACUGG
rnacentral:rRNA from 1 species